rnacentral:rRNA from 1 species
GCUAGUAAUGGCAGGUCAGCAUACUGCCGUGAAUACGUUCCCGGGCCUUGUACACACCGCCCGUCACACCAUGAGAGUUGGGGAUACCCAAAGCCCGUGAGCCAACUGUAAAGAGGCAGCGGUCUAAGGUAGAAUCAAUGAUUGGGGUGAAGUCGUAACAAGGUAUC